AUGACAAUGCUCCGGAACUCCCUUCACACCUCGAUUCUGCCGCCCCAGCCACUGCUCUUCAACAACCGAGCAACACCUGCGACCACCACGUUUUCAGCAGCAAGUGGCCUCCUCCAGAUCACCAGGAUCGACGACGACCUUGUAGCAUCACAGCAACGAUUCGAUGAAACUCAAACCGCGAAUCCGCAACCCAGCCAACAACAACACCGUACCUCACCCUCUCCAGAUCGAUCGCUCCAGCCAUGCUCAGCUUUAACGAAGUUCUCUGACGACGCCGCACACGAAGCCCCACUCAACUGCCGGACUCAAGUCAAGUCAAAUCCAAGUCGCGCAAGACCGCCGGACUCAACCGCACCACCCAAUCGCCACCGUUUCACUUUAGAUAGGUUGCAUACUCUUUGGCUGUGUUCUUAA